GAUCUCUUCCCAAUUAAAGCUCUGUGGACCUGUUCAGCUACAGAAGCAGGACAUGCAUUUCAGCUUGAAUAGUGAGUUUCUAGCUGCUCCAUGUAAAAGAAAAGCACGUUAAGAAAAUAAAACAGUGGGCAAACCCAGGUGGUUGCGGUCGAACAGAAGGAUGGGCGACCCUCGCUGUUUAAACGGAUGAGCAGGACUUCAAGCGCAACCCCUGGCCUUGCCUUUCUCCUCUCCAUGUUCAUCUUCCUCCUGGGAGUGAGCGCUUGAUGGUGCUUUGAAUCCACGCCAGGAAUUUUUCUGCUUUUGCAAACUCAGAGGCUUUCUUGUCCUCCUGAUGAUAGUAAGACGCCUUUGGAGUCUGGCCUGGAGGAAGCUAAGUGAAUUAUCUGUGUACAGAUAAUCAGAAGUGGACCAUAAAUGAUGAUUGAUGCUCCCGGGUUGCCAGGAGGGAGUUGCCACACUGGAUAACACCUGACACUCCUGCAGGAAAUGAUGGACAUCCCACUCCAAAGGGGCCUUGGAGCCCAUAGCCAGCUCCUCCUCUUAUUCAAAAAGCAUGCUUCCUGUGGUAGUGAGGGAUAUGUCCAAUUCCCCAAAAUGUUUAACAAGGAGAAAGAAGAACAGAUUUUAAAUUCAUGACUAAAAUAUUCUUUGAAGUGCAGAACUUGGCUUUGAUAGUGCAAUGUGGAAAUAGCAUGGUUCUCUACUUACUGUGAGCAUUUGGUGACCAGUGGGCCCAGUGGCACGUGUGAUAACAUCUCCUUUCACUCUGUAGAAGCCAGUUCCUCCCGGUGGUGGUUCAGGUCUGUUUCUGACUAAGCAAGUUGUUCCUUUAGAUCCGAUUUCAAGGCACUUUCUGGUGGUGGACACAGGACCUAUUUUUCUCACUUGACUAUGUGUUGGUCUAGUCAUUGGCCAUUCAGAGACUCCAGGUUGGAGGUCUACAUAAGUUAGAAUCUCACCAGCCUUUCUAAACCAGAUGCAAAGUACACACCCCAGCGGGCUUAUAAAAGGAGUACAUCUAAUCAUAUAAUGCUUCUAUAAUAUGGUUUUUUAAAUUAAGUGACCCACAGGAUAUUAAUCUGGUGGUAACAACUCCUGGGAGACGUAGUAUUGGCAAACACUUCAAGAGCAGCUGGAACUCCUGUGAAAUGUGAUGUUCAUUUCAUCUGAACAUAUGUAAAUCAAAACAAGCCAUGGGAGAACUGCAGUGCUCUGUACAUGCUAUAUUGUUCACAAACCUGUCAUAAAUAAGUGCCUCUUUAAAAGAAACCAAUUAAUAAAUGUGCAUUGAAUUACAAAGUUUAAAUAUUCCAUAAUAUGGGAUCUCUUUCCCUGACCCCCUCCACCCGAAUUCCCACUCCUGCCAGGGGCCCCUCGUUAUUGAAGCUGUUACAACAUUUUCCACUGUGUGGCACAUCUCUGUUUUGUUGUUGUUGAUUGAGUUAUUUGGUUGGUCCAGCAGUUUAAAAAAAAAAAAAGAGGAAGA